CAGCAUUUAAUUCCGCGAAAUUCUGACAAACUUGAAUUUUUGAUUUGUGAUGUUGUUUUUGUCACGUCUAGACUCUUCGUCGAGGGUUGAUCAGAAGCAAAGGGUAUUAUAAGUCAGGAGUUUCUGCUGGGUGACUGACAGUUUUGUGUUGGCACCUAUUUAUCACAAUUUUGUUACUGUACCUUCGCAAACACUGUCUCAUGUCAGACACAUACAAUCACAGUUGGGCAUCAUGGUGUUGAAGAGGAAGUAUGUCAAGCUGAAAGCAGUGAAACAAAUUAAUUUUACAGGUAAGAAUAUUUUAUUUU